rnacentral:lncRNA from 1 species
GUUUAGAUGUCUGCAAAAAUCCUACUUCCGGUAAAUUUCAACAUUGCGGACAUUGUACUAAAAUAAGCUUAUUUUUUAGGGAGGGUAAUUGAAAUGUGUUUAAACGCAUUGCUACUAACAUUACAUUGUGCAGGAACCUUUCUUUGGUGCUUCUAAUGGAUGCAAUGUAUAAAAAAUCUGACUUUAAAACCCUUACUUCCGG